AGAGUUUGAUCCUGGCUCAGAACGAACGCUGGCGGCGUGCCUAACACAUGCAAGUCGUACGAGAAAAUCCGCUUCGGCGGGUGAGUAAAGUGGCGCACGGGUGAGUAACGCGUGGAUAAUCUGCCUUUAAGCGGGGAAUAACUUACCGAAAGGUGGGCUAAUACCCCAUAAAGCUAUGGAGCUCCGGUUUUCAUAGCCAAAGAGAGCCUCUGCAUGCAAGCCCUCACUUAGAGAUGAGUCCGCGUACCAUUAGCUAGUUGGUGGGGUAAUGGCCUACCAAGGCGACGAUGGUUAGCUGGUCUGAGAGGAUGAUCAGCCACACUGGAACUGAGACACGGUCCAGACUCCUACGGGAGGCAGCAGUGAGGAAUAUUGCGCAAUGGGGGCAACCCUGACGCAGCAACGCCGCGUGAGUGAGGAAGGUUUUCGGAUCGUAAAGCUCUGUCGGGUGGGAAGAAAUGUAUGGAGGUUAACAGCCUUUGUACUUGACGGUACCGCCAAAGGAAGCACCGGCUAACUCCGUGCCAGCAGCCGCGGUAAUACGGGGGGUGCUAGCGUUGUUCGGAAUCAUUGGGCGUAAAGAGCGUGUAGGCGGCUAGGCAAGUCAGAUGUGAAAUCCCUGGGCUUAACCCAGGACGUGCAUUUGAAACUGCUUGGCUUGAGUAGGGAAGAGGGAAGUGGAAUUCCUGGUGUAGAGGUGAAAUUCGUAGAUAUCGGGAGGAACACCAGUGGCGAAGGCGGUUUCCUGGCCUGAUACUGACGCUGAGGCGCGAAAGCGUGGGGAGCAAACAGGAUUGGAUACCCUGGUAGUCCACGCUGUAAAC
rnacentral:rRNA from 1 species